rnacentral:lncRNA from 1 species
AUCAUUCAUAUAAACUUAUAAUAACUGUUAAUUUUCCUUCAAAAUAUGUUUCACACAUCUCCUUCGUUUAGAUAAAUUUCAAAAUGAAACAGAAAAUGGAAGCCAAAUAAUUAAAAUUUAGAUCAAUUGAAAUAGCCUCCCCACUUAAAAAAAAAAUAAAGAACAAAUUUUAACAGAAAAAAGGGGGAGGGAAACCUAAAGAUACAGAAUUUAAAUAAAGUGAUAAAAAGAUCCUCCAUCCUUUUCUAAACUUCUUUUUAAAGUUUUAAACUUGGUAAAUUAGAUGUCCCCUGAAUUUAGAGUAUCCAUGGGAACAUGUCCCAUUUUUACCAGAAAUUAAUAUACCCAUAGGAACAUUACAGUACAUGUUCCUCUUCAAAGUAAUAAAGGUAUCCAUAGGAAUAUCACAUCACAUGUUCCUCUCCAAAGUAAUGAAGGUAUCCAUAGGAACAUCACAUGUUCCUCUUCAAAGUAAUAAAGGUAUCCAUAGGAACAUCACAUCACAUGUUCCUCUCCAAAGUAAUGAAGGUAUCCAUAGGAACAUCACAUGUUCCUCUUCAAAGUAAU